rnacentral:rRNA from 1 species
CUACGGGACGCACCAGUGGGGAAUAUUGCGCAAUGGGCGAAAGCCUGACGCAGCAACGCCGUGUGAGGGAUGAAGGCUUUCGGGUCGUAAACCUCUGUCAGAAGGGAAGAACGGGUAUUGGUCUAAUAGGCCUUUAUUUUGACGGUACCUUCAGAGGAAGCACCGGCUAACUCCGUGCCAGCAGCCGCGGUAAUACGGAGGGUGCAAGCGUUAUUCGGAAUUACUGGGCGUAAAGCGCACGUAGGCCGCUUUGUAAGUCAGGGGUGAAAUCCCACGGCUCAACCGUGGAACUGCCUUUGAAACUGCAGAGCUUGAAUCCUGGAGAGGGUGGCGGAAUUCCUGGUGUAGGAGUGAAAUCCGUAGAUAUCAGGAGGAACACCGGUGGCGAAGGCGGCCACCUGGACAGGUAUUGACGCUGAGGUGCGAAAGUGUGGGGAGCAAACAGGAUUGAUACCCGUGUAGUC